AUUGAACGCUAGCGGGAUGCCUUACACAUGCAAGUCGAACGCAGUGGGGACGGGUGAGUAACACGUGGGUAACCUCCCAUCAGAGGGGAUAACACUUGGAAACAGGUGCUAAACCGAUACUGAUGGAUGGACCCGCGGUGCAUUAGCUAGUUGGUGAGGUAACGGCUCACCACGGCCACGAUGCAUAGCAGACCGGGGAGUGUGAUCGGCCACACUGGAACUGAGACACGGCCCAGACUCCUACGGGAGGCAGCAGUAGGGAAUCUUCGGCAAUGGGCGAAAGCCUGACCGAGCAACGCCGCGUGAGUGAAGAAGGUUUGCGGAUCGUAAAACUCUGUUAUUAGGGAAGCGGUACCUAACCAGAAAGCAACGGCUAACUACGUGCCAGCAGCCGCGGUAAUAC
rnacentral:rRNA from 1 species